CCCUAGCCCGGAUGGAAGCGGCAUCCUUUUGUGGCGGGGUUCGCCAUAAAAGAUAUAGUGGACAGCUGGAAAUAGC
rnacentral:sRNA from 1 species